AGUGAACGCUGGCGGUAGGCCUAAUACAUGCAAGUCGAACGACAGCACAGUAAGAGUUUGCUCUUACGGGUGGCGAGUGGCGGACGGGUGAGGAAUAGAUCGGCUUCUUCUUUUUCGUGGGGGAUAACGGAGGGAAACUUACGCUAAUACCGCAUAUGUUCUACGGGUGAAUGCAGGAGUUAUUCGCACCUUGCGUGACUGAUUGAGCUGAUGUCGGAUUAGCUAGUUGGCGGGGUAAAGGCACACCAAGGCAACGAUCCGUAGCCGGUCUGAGAGGAUGAUCGGCCACACUGGAACUGAGACACGGUCCAGACUCCUACGGGAGGCAGCAGUGGGGAAUAUUCGACAAUGGGCGCAAGCCUGAUCCAGCAAUACCGCGUGGGUGAAGAAGGCCUUCGGGUUGUAAAGCUCUGUUGUUGGGAAAGAAAAACAGCAGAUUAAAACACCGCUGUUCUGACGGUACCCAAAGAAUAAGCACCGGCUAACUUCGUG
rnacentral:rRNA from 1 species